CGUACAUUGAGUAGCGGCGGACGGGUGAGUAAUGUCUGGGAAACUGCCUGAUGGAGGGGGAUAACUACUGGAAACGGUAGCUAAUACCGCAUAACGUCUUCGGACCAAAGAGGGGGACCUUCGGGCCUCUUGCCAUCAGAUGUGCCCAGAUGGGAUUAGCUAGUAGGUGAGGUAAUGGCUCACCUAGGCGACGAUCCCUAGCUGGUCUGAGAGGAUGACCAGCCACACUGGAACUGAGACACGGUCCAGACUCCUACGGGAGGCAGCAGUGGGGAAUAUUGCACAAUGGGCGCAAGCCUGAUGCAGCCAUGCCGCGUGUGUGAAGAAGGCCUUCGGGUUGUAAAGCACUUUCAGCGGGGAGGAAGGCGGUGAGGUUAAUAACCUCAUCGAUUGACGUUACCCGCAGAAGAAGCACCGGCUAACUCCGUGCCAGCAGCCGCGGUAAUACGGAGGGUGCAAGCGUUAAUCGGAAUGACUGGGCGUAAAGCGCACGCAGGCGGUUUGUUAAGUCAGAUGUGAAAUCCCCGAGCUUAACUUGGGAACUGCAUUUGAAACUGGCAAGCUAGAGUCUUGUAGAGGGGGGUAGAAUUCCAGGUGUAGCGGUGAAAUGCGUAGAGACUGGAGGAAUACCGGUGGCGAAGGCGGCCCCCUGGACAAAGACUGACGCUCAGGUGCGAAAGCGUGGGGAGCAAACAGAUCCCA
rnacentral:rRNA from 1 species